rnacentral:sRNA from 1 species
CCUCUGGCACCUGCUGUGGGCAGAUGUAGUGGAUGUGUGCGUCAACGGCGCCAGCGGUAACGAUCAGCUUCUCGCCUGCGAUGACUUCCGUGGUGGAUCCGACGAUGAGGUCAGGGUGCACGUUGGCCAUCACGUCGGGGUUGCCGGCUUUCCCGAUGCCAACGAUGUUUCCAUGCUUCACGCCAAUGUCAGCCUGUGUGACGACGAGGUGUCAAUUCCCAUAUGGACUGGAGAAUCCCUGCGCACUUUAUAGAUACCUGACCAGUCAACAAUGAGUGCGUUGGUAAUGACGAGGUCGAGUGUCUCCUUUUCAGACCGAUUUGUUGCUUGGCCCAUCCCUUCACGG